rnacentral:misc_RNA from 1 species
UUAUAUCACAAUCUGAAAUUAUCAUUGAUGCAAGUAUACCUAUUCUAACGAAAAAAUGUCAUUCCAUCUUUAUACUUCCUACCAUCUUUUGAUAUAAAUAAACCAUAUGAAGGGGAAAGAAAGAAUCUGCACCCAUUUUACGCAUGCAGAUUACACAUGGCCAUAAUAUAAGAAUUGACGGGGGAAAAAUGCUGCAUUACAAAGAACAAAUGUCAGUGAGAUGCUGAAGGAAGCUUCCAAAAGCUUUUUGUUGCAACCAGAAUUUUUUCUCUCCCGUGUGAUUCAGGUUCCUUCUCAUGAAUAAUAGUUGUCCAUCUUACAGCAUGAGCUAUGUGAUCUACUCUGUCAAUAACUUCAGGACUAUCACGAAUCAUAACAGUUCCUUCUGGACGUAACAUUCUAUCCAUCUCCACUAUCAAAUCCACAAGGUUACACCUGUUCUUGCUUGAACCCGGACUUUUUAUCAGCGAUUCAAUGCCAGCCACAUGGAUGAGAUCAUAAGUACGAGGAUAUGUUGAGAAAGGCUCACACCAGUCAUGGUAGACUCCAAUAAGGCCUCGGUCAAAAAUUACACAGACAGCUUGCCAGCAGGUACAAUAUUCAUCACCCAUACAGGAUCAGAUGCAAGAGCUGCAGCAAAACCCCCAAAAAAUGCAUU